UACGUAGGGUGCAAGCGUUAAUCGGAAUUACUGGGCGUAAAGCGUGCGCAGGCGGUUUUGUAAGUUUGUCGUGAAAGCCCCGGGCUCAACCUGGGGAUUGCGAUGAAGACUGCAAGGCUUGAAUCUGGCAGAGGGGGGUAGAAUUCCACGUGUAGCAGUGAAAUGCGUAGAGAUGUGGAGGAACACCGAUGGCGAAGGCAGCCCCCUGGGUCAAGAUUGACGCUCAUGCACGAAAGCGUGGGGAGCAAACAG
rnacentral:rRNA from 1 species